rnacentral:rRNA from 1 species
UACGGAGGGGGCUAGCGUUGUUCGGAAUUACUGGGCGUAAAGGGCGCGUAGGCGGUACUUCAAGUCAGGCGUGAAAGCCCCGGGCUCAACCUGGGAACCGCGCUUGAGACUGGAGAACUAGAGUUCGGGAGAGGUUGGUGGAAUUCCGAGUGUAGAGGUGAAAUUCGUAGAUAUUCGGAGGAACACCAGAAGCGAAGGCGGCCAACUGGCCCGAUACUGACGCUGAGGCGCGAAAGCGUGGGGAGCAAACAGG